GCCAACGUAGCUCAGUGGAAGAGCAAGUGUUUCGUAAACACUAGGCCGUGAGUUCGAUUCUCACCGUUGGCUCCG
rnacentral:tRNA from 1 species